rnacentral:rRNA from 1 species
AUUGAACGCUGGUGGCAGGCCUAAAACAUGCAAGUCGAGCGGAUGAAGGGAGCUUGCUCCUGGAUUCAGCGGCGGACGGGUGAGUAAUGCCUAGGAAUCUGCCUGGUAGUGGGGGAUAACGUCCGGAAACGGGCGCUAAUACCGCAUACGUCCUGAGGGAGAAAGUGGGGGAUCUUCGGACCUCACGCUAUCAGAUGAGCCUAGGUCGGAUUAGCUAGUUGGUGGGGUAAAGGCCUACCAAGGCGACGAUUCGUAACUGGUCUGAGAGGAUGAUCAGUCACACUGGAACUGAGACACGGUCCAGACUCCUACGGGAGGCAGCAGUGGGGAAUAUUGGACAAUGGGCGAAAGCCUGAUCCAGCCAUGCCGCGUGUGUGAAGAAGGUCUUCGGAUUGUAAAGCACUUUAAGUUGGGAGGAAGGGCAGUAAGUUAAUACCUUGCUGUUUUGACGUUACCAACAGAAUAAGCACCGGCUAACUUCGUG